rnacentral:rRNA from 1 species
CGGGCUUGAAAGUUACUGACGUCUUUGGAAACAGAGAUUCCCUUCGGGGCAGGAAACUAGGUGCUGCAUGGUUGUCGUCAGCUCGUGCCGUGAGGUGUCGGGUUAAGUCCCAUAACGAGCGCAACCCCUACCGUUAGUUGCCAUCAGGUAAAGCUGGGCACUCUGGCGGGACUGCCGGUGUAAGCCGAGAGGAAGGUGGGGAUGACGUCAAAUCAGCACGGCCCUUACGUCCGGGGCUACACACGUGUUACAAUGGCAGGUACAGAGGGCAGCUACCCAGCGAUGGGAUGCGAAUCUCGAAAGCCUGUCUCAGUUCGGAUUGGAGGCUGAAACCCGCCUCCAUGAAGUUGGAUUCGCUAGUAAUCGCGCAUCAGCCAUGGCGCGGUGAAUACGUUCCCGGGCC